CGUCACGUCGCUCGUCGCAGCCGUCGAGUGCCAACGCGCGCUGCUCGCUGGAACGGACCGCCGGGUCUCAUGAGGGUCUGCGUGCAGCACAACAGGUGGCAGGAAGGCAGCGCAGUCGUCAGCAAGCUCAACGAACUGAUGGCCACGGUCGACCCGUUCUCCGACAGACGCAUGCAGACGCCAGAGAGUGAGAUGACAUCCACGUGAGGCAGUCGCGUCUUGCCGUCGCGCGACCAGCAGAAAACUUCGUCCCCUCUCUAUUACCGAUUGUUACUCUACUCUACUGCCGAUUGUUAGUCUGCUGGGUUCCUAAAUCCGCCAGUACAAAGUUCGUCCACUCUCUACUACCGAUUGUUACUACGCUAGAUUACUAAAUCUGCUAAUACAAAGUUCGUUACCUCUCUACUACCGAUUGUUACUACGCUAGAUUACUAAAUCUGCUAAUACAAAGUUCCUCCCCUAUCUACUACCGAUUGUUACUACGCUAUAUUAUUAAAUCUGCUAAUACAAAGUUCGUUACCUCUCUACUACCGAUUGUUACUAUGCUAGACUACUAAAUCCGCCAGUACAGUUUGUUCCCUAUCUACUACCGAUUGUUACUACGCUAGCUUACUAAACGUGUUUCCACGUCACGAUUCUUGUUCGGAUUUUGUCAGAUCUACUUGUACCACCGCAACUGCAUGUAAACCGGUUGAAGUGAGAGGAGAAGGGUUGUGGGUGGGGGGUUACUUAAAUUUAAUUUAAUUAAAACACCUCGUUAUUUACCACUCAUUAGACUUGCAUACAAACUUGGGUGUCACUUUCCCCCGGGCGUAGAUGGACGGAGCCGUUACGUGGCAGCACUAGUCACUUCGUACGCUUCAAAGUCCAAAUCUUCCACCGAAAGAUUCCACGGUCAUACUUCUGUGCUAGACAUGGCCUUAUUUCCCUAACCCUAACCCUAACCUACGCCCGGGGGAAAGUUAAUCUGCCUACAAACACUUUGUGUGUCUAAGUAAAAAUUCACGGCUGUAGCAUUAAUGCACCCUGAACUCUUUGAAUAAAAAAUAGUGCCAAGAGUUUGGAGUUGACGUAAUGUUACCUUGAUGGAAAAUUCUGAUUAAAUACGUGAAAAAA